UACGGAAGGUCCGGGCGUUAUCCGGAUUUAUUGGGUUUAAAGGGAGCGUAGGCCGGCUUUUAAGUCAGCUGUGAAAGUCCGCGGCUCAACCGUGGAAUUGCAGUUGAAACUGGAGGCCUUGAGUGGGCGAGAAGUAUGCGGAAUGCGUGGUGUAGCGGUGAAAUGCAUAGAUAUCGCGCAGAACUCCGAUUGCGAAGGCAGCAUACCGGUGCACAACUGACGCUCAGGCACGAAAGCGUGGGUAUCGAACAGG
rnacentral:rRNA from 1 species